GAUGAACGCUAGCGGCAGGCUUAAUACAUGCAAGUCGAGGGACAGCACAGGUAGCAAUACUGGGUGGUAACCGGCAAACGGGUGCGGAACACGUACACAACCUUCCUUUAAGUGGGGGAUAGCCCAGAGAAAUCUGGAUUAAUACCCCGUAAUAUAGUUGAAUGGCAUCAUUUGAUUAUUAUAGCUACGGCGCUUAAUGAUGGGUGUGCGGCUGAUUAGAUAGUUGGCGGGGUAACGGCCCACCAAGUCUACGAUCAGUAGCUGAUGCGAGAGCAUGAUCAGCCACACGGGCACUGAGACACGGGCCCGACUCCUACGGGAGGCAGCAGUAAGGAAUAUUGGUCAAUGGACGCAAGUCUGAACCAGCCAUGCCGCGUGAAGGAUUAAGGUCCUCUGGAUUGUAAACUUCUUUUAUUUGGGACGAAAAAGGGCCCUUCUAGGUCAACUGACGGUACCAGAUGAAUAAGCACCGGCUAACUCCGUGCCAGCCGCCGCCGUAACAC
rnacentral:rRNA from 1 species